GUGUAGCUCAGUGCUAGAGCAUGAGGCUGGCACGCAUGAGGGCCUGGGUUCAAACCCAGCAC
rnacentral:tRNA from 1 species